rnacentral:rRNA from 1 species
GGAGGUAGUGACAAUAAAUCUCAAUACGAAGCCUUUGGUUUUGUAAUUGAAUUGAGAACAAUGUACAAUCGUUAUCGAUAAACAAUUGGAGGGCAAGUCUGGUGCCAGCAGCCGCGGUAAUUCCAGCUCCAAUAGCGUAUAUUAACGUUGUUGCAGUUAAAAAGCUCGUAGUUGAAGUUUAGAUAAUUUAUUGAAAGUGUUUGUAUUCGUACAUUCUACUUUUAUGUAAGUUAUCGACAUCCAGGUGGGUGCCAUGGUUCCUUCGGGGGUUAGGGUACUAGACUGGUCAUUUACUGUGAGAAAAUUAGAGUGUUUAAAGCGGACUGUUCAGUUUGAAUAGAUUAGCAUGGAAUAAUAAAAUUGGUUUUCAUAGUCGAUUUUUUGGUUUGUUUAUGAAAGCAAGAUUAAUAGGGACAGUUGGGGGUAUUCAUAUUCAAUAGCUAGAGGUGAAAUUCUAUGAUUUAUGGAAGAUGAACAAGUGCGAAAGCA